UACGGGGGAUCCAAGCGUUAUCCGGAUUUAUUGGGUUUAAAGGGUGCGUAGGCGGAUCUUUAAGUCAGUGGUGAAAGUUUGCGGCUCAACCGUAAAAUUGCCAUUGAAACUGAAGAUCUUGAGUGCAAAUGAGGUAGGCGGAAUGUGUUGUGUAGCGGUGAAAUGCUUAGAUAUAACACAGAACCCCGAUUGCGAAGGCAGCUUACUGGGAUGCAACUGACGCUGAGGCACGAAAGCGUGGGGAUCAAACAGG
rnacentral:rRNA from 1 species